UACGUAGGGUGCGAGCGUUGUCCGGAAUUAUUGGGCGUAAAGAGCUCGUAGGCGGCUUGUCGCGUCGGAUGUGAAAGCCCGGGGCUUAACUCCGGGUCUGCAUUCGAUACGGGCAGGCUAGAGUUCGGUAGGGGAGAUCGGAAUUCCUGGUGUAGCGGUGAAAUGCGCAGAUAUCAGGAGGAACACCGGUGGCGAAGGCGGAUCUCUGGGCCGAUACUGACGCUGAGGAGCGAAAGCGUGGGGAGCGACCAGG
rnacentral:rRNA from 1 species